AAUUAUCACAUUAUAAAAUUCAGUUAUAUGUUCGGGUUGUGAUUAUAAUUUCACAAAUAUGUUUACAAUACUGUUAAAUCUGGUGAAAAAUAUUUUUAUUACUAUAUAUGUAUAAAUUUGACAUAACAAGAGUUAUUUCUGUCAAGAUUAUAAUAACAUAUUUGAUUUUUAAAAUAUUAUAAAUUUUGUUUCUGUAUUAAUAUGGGAAGCCAGUUACUAAACACUAGGACAUGUGUAAGUCUUUGUAUAUUGAUCAAUCAAAGGACAUGUCUAGUGAUCGAUCAAUGGCUUGAUGCUUUCACAUCAAGUAUAUGUGAUUCGAUAAACACAGAUAUUUUUUUAGUGAUGAUAAAAUUAUAUAUUAAAUAUAGAUAUGUUGCUCAAAAAAAUAUAGAUAUAUAUGUUGUCGAUAAGGUGUAAUUAAAAUCAUCACUCCCCUC
rnacentral:lncRNA from 1 species